GUGGCAGAGAACAGCACAAGCCUGGGGGCCCAGAAGGCUCUGUAUGUGACAGGAGAUGUGUGUGCCAAGCCUCAGAUCCAGAGGGAGUGGUGAGGAUGGCUGGAAUGUCAAGACAUUCUAGUUUUGAAUCACAUUGGAUCCUCCCCAUUCACCAUAUGGAAUGGAGACAGGGAGCACGUCAGGGAACUAAUGCAGAUACGCUUCAUUUUUUUUUCUUUAUAUUAGGCUAUACUUAGCCUUGCACCUAGCCAAGUGAGACAAGGCUAUAUGCUAUAGUAGUUUUUAAUGUGUUGCUGUUUUCCAAAGGUGAAUUUCCUCAGCUACGUGAACAUUGCUUCUGCAGCUUUUUCAGUGUUGGAGUAUAGGGUCUGUGUUCGUAGUAUCCUCUCUGUUGGGUAAGAUGACUAAUCCGUGGAGCCCUACGCGGCCAACGGUUUCUUGUAGUGAAUGUUUUCUUUGGCACCAUACAGCAUGAGCUAGCCAUCUAGCACAGCAAUGUAUCUCUGACCAUCACCACCUUGGGCCUGAUAGACACAGAAUCAGAGGCUACACCAAUAUGAUGGUCUACCCAGCCUGCGAUGCACCUCAUCAUCCGCCAGAAGAAGUCAUUCUGCCCUGUCUACAUUUACCUCGCCUGCCUGUGCAGAGACAGGUUCCUCUUCUUCAGAAGCAUUGUCAUUGAGAACUCCUACACAUACUGAAGGAGCCUCAAACCCCUAGUGAAAGAAGCCCCUACUACACAGAGUGGGGCAGGGUAAGGGUCAGGGGGAACUUUUUUAGGAUAGGAUAGAAAUAUAGAGGAGAGAGGGUGCUAGAGCAGUGGGUCAGAUUCAAACCCAUGCUCGCAGACGUUCACAGCACAUAUGAUCCAGAGACAGCGACUUUCAGACAGCUGGAACUCCCAGGCCACAUGCUUCACCUACUUAAAAAGGGAACCCUCAUAGUUGUAUGGAAUGAGCACACCUACUACUGUGACCACACAGGAAGCCCAACUCCAUGUUGUAUCUAUAUGAGGCGUUUCCACCUAUGGUUGGAUGUUGUAUUUAUGAGGCGCUCUCAUGUCUUCAAAAUGCUUUCCAUUGUUAUGGCGGUGAAUGCUCCUUAUCCACUACCCAAGGUGCAGCACCCGUUGUGACCAAUCAGACUAAUCUGGAGAGAGGAGGUGGGUGGUUAAAUGGAAAGCAUAUCAGGGCGUAGAGUGACCAUAGUGGCUAUAUCUCAUUAUGUGUGGUCACUAGUGUGCAAUUGAGAUCUGCUUUAAUGAUUUCACAGGCCCUCCUUAAGCCCCCUUCAGGUGCUACAUGUGGGGACAUCAAAGGAUUUGAGUUCUAGCCACCGGUUCUUAUAACCCAUUCCUUUAAUUAACAUGCAAUAUUCUGUGUCUGGAGAAUAAGGUGCACAAUAAACUAUGGUGCUAAGCGGAAGGUUGAAGUAGGGCUGUAAACGUGAAGACCUCUGAAGUGUUGUGUGUGUGUGUGAUGACACGCUCGACAGCAACGCUAACUGUGUGCAGUCAUAUGAAUACAAUUAAUAGAACAGACACAAGUCUGGGUAGGCUAUGUGUUCUCAUGACUCAUUGGGUCAAAUGGAACACAGAGGGGAAUGCUAAAUUGAAUAGAAGUAUUCCAUCUUGGUAACAGAGCACUUCAAAAUGGCUUCUUUUGUACAAAUCCAUUACCAAUGCCCUUUGUCUCCGUAGUCAUAUAAAUGCUGCCUGUACAUUGUCUGUAGGUUAAAAUCUGUAAUGUGUUAGUUGGUCUAGGCUUUCUGCAAAUGUUGAUGAAGUCUGUUGAUGUCAGAUAAAGCAAUUAUAGAGGUGUUUUUAUCUACAAAGUGUAGUCAUAGAGUCAUAUACCGUUGGUCUCCUGCCCUAGUUCAACUGUACCAGUUUUAAAUGCAAGUCACAUGCGAUUACUAGGGGAAAAUGGCUGCUUCUCCCUUUUAACAGCUUGCCUGGGAAACUGAUCAAAGCAUGUUUGCGAUGAGGUUCCAAAUUUCAAAUGCAUUUUCUGAUUGUAUGAAUGUGACCAUUUGUACAUGUUUUGUAUUUUAUCAAUGUUCCAGUCUUGAAUUAAAUAUCUAUGUUAUUUCAGU